GAACAUUACUUAAUCAGGUAAUAUCAUACCAAAUUCAUAACUUGCUUUGGUUGUUAAUUUUUCAUGUAGAUUUAUGUUUUCAGUUGUUUGACCUAAACUCUUCCAUCGCAGGUUGUGUAUAGAUGAAACGGUGCCAGCAAAAAGUAGACCUAAAUUUAUGUGUUUAUAUCACCGGUGUAAAGUAACGUUUAUGAAUUUCUCAGUUUAUUUUUUAUUGCAAUCAUAUCUUGGUUUUUAGGUAAAAAGAUGUGCUAAAAUGUCAAGAAAGCUUAGUUUUUUCAAAGAUCAAAUACACAAGGCCGGGUUACAAUCUUCUGCUCUUCCUACACUGCAACCGGAUGUCGACUUGGAAGCCUUAGAGACACAACUUGCUGAACUAAUUGAGAUGAAUGCCAAGAGUGAUAAACUACAACAAACAUAUAACGAGUUGCUAGAGUUCAAGAUGGUGCUGCAGAAGGUACAUUGUGCCUAAGCAGUUAAUGCGCUAAAAUAUCGGAUAUCGGUCAUUUGAGUUACAGGUUAUCAAGGUGGGAUUAGAUAAUGAUGACAGAUAUGCUUUUAAGCUUUUCUAAGUGGCUAGAGGCGACUGUGGUUCCAAGGUUGUGGUGGUUGUAAUUGUGGUCAUCAAAGGGUCGUAGCUGUCUUCCGGCGGCUAGGGUUCCACCAUGAAACACUGGAUGCGGCAGAUUCAGGGCGAGACCUGUUGAAGUUUUGGUAUUUCGAUCCAUUGACAGAAAACUAGUUGAUCCUCGGCAUGGCUAUAAUCAAAAUAUUCAAUUUUGUUAUGCCAAAUGGAUUCACUGUGAGAGUAGACAAACUUUUUCUAUUAGGGAAUGGAAAGAUGUGAAUCUUGAAAGAUGCUCAAGAAUGAAGCUUAUUCAGCAAUGCAGCGGAGGGGGUCGUUGAAAGAUGAACCAUGUAUAGAUCGAGUGUGGUUGCCAUAUCAUGGCUCACCGGGCCUAGCCAUUCUCGAGCUGUGGUUACCUGAGAUGACGCAAGUUACUUCAGGAGCUGGUUGAGCUGGCCGCCAAAGGCUCAAGUACAGGAAAAUGAUCAACAACAGUUUUGCUGCUCAACAAAAACCACAAGUUGAACUUCAUGGAAAAGCAUGUGCAGCUGUUGGUCAAAAUGGAUUGAUGGCUUUGUAACACUUUAUUCAUUCAGGUUUAAUGUUUGCCUGUUUGAACUAAACUAUGAGAAUAUACAUGGGUGUUUUGGUUUGUGCUCACAGAAUGCUUUU